GUAUUUAUUUUGAAUUAAGUUAAUUCGCAAUUGCUUUUCAGAACGUUGCACACAAGGUGGAUAUGGAUUUUAAAGCACCGUAAAUACACAAUUGUGAAUGGCCCUUCCACAGGUUCACCUACGGAAA
rnacentral:misc_RNA from 1 species